rnacentral:rRNA from 1 species
CCCUUAGAUGUUCUGGGCCGCACGCGCGCUACACUGACUGGUGCAACAAGUGUCUGACCUUGGCUCGAGAGGCCUGGGCAACCUUUGAACGCCAGUCGUGCUGGGGAUAGAUUCUUGCAAUUAUUAAUCUUCAACGAGGAAUUCCUAGUAAACGCAAGUCAUCAGCUUGCAUUGAUUACGUCCCUGCCCUUUGUACACACCGCCCGUCGCUACUACCGAUUGAACGUUUUAGUGAGGUACUCGGACUGAGCCUCAGAAGAUUCACGUCUUUUGUGCUGCUCGGGAAGAUUCCCAAACUUGAGCGUUUAGAGGAAGUAAAAGUCGUAACA